rnacentral:rRNA from 1 species
GUGGGGAAUUUUGGACAAUGGGCGAAAGCCUGAUCCAGCAAUGCCGCGUGAGUGAAGAAGGCCUUCGGGUUGUAAAGCUCUUUUACCCGGGAAGAUAAUGACUGUACCGGGAGAAUAAGCUCCGGCUAACUCCGUGCCAGCAGCCGCGGUAAUACGGAGGGAGCUAGCGUUGUUCGGAAUUACUGGGCGUAAAGCGCGCGUAGGCGGUUUUUUAAGUCAGAGGUGAAAGCCCGGGGCUCAACCCCGGAAUUGCCUUUGAAACUGGAAAACUUGAAUCUUGGAGAGGUCAGUGGAAUUCCGAGUGUAGAGGUGAAAUUCGUAGAUAUUCGGAAGAACACCAGUGGCGAAGGCGACUGACUGGACAAGUAUUGACGCUGAGGUGCGAAAGCGUGGGGAGCAAACAGGAUUAGAAACCCCGGUAGUC